CACUGGGUUUUUUAAAAUAACUAGUAUUUAUUAUUGGUUAGCAGGCAGUUUUAAAUGAAUUUAAUUAAAAUCAAUGAUAAGAAUUUAUACUUCUACCAGGAUUUAUAUUAAUCAUUGAUUUUAUAUUUUAACUCAGGAUAAGAAUAUAGGAAAUAUAGUUACACCCUGUACUUCUCGGUCCUGUAACUAUCUAAAAACCACCAAUCUUGGCUGAUUAUACAGUGAUGUGACAGUGACGCGCAAGUUGGAACAAAUUCAUAUAAAAUUCAAGGGUGUGUUCGAAAAAAAACGCUCGGAGACGUCGAUUUUUAUUUUUUUGGAUUUUUUUGAUGAUAAAUUCAUGUAUUCAACCAAAAAUAAGCAAUGACCUCCAACAUUUUUCAAUUCUGCAUAUAUAUAUAUUGAAAUCUACACUGGAGUAUGGAAAGCCACACACAAUUUACCAAGAAGUUAAACGUAUGGGCAGGAACUGUGGGUGCCUAUUUUAUUGAGGGUGCACUUACCUCUGAAAAAUAUUUAGAGUUGCUUCAAAAUCAGAUAGUACCUAGUUUAAUUGCACUUUAUCCAAAUGGCGAAAACCCAUUUAUACCGGCAGAUUCGAUACGGUUCCAACAGGAUGGCACCCCCCGCUACACUAUUCGCGAACAGUACGAGAUUACCUUACCAACAUUUUCCCAAAUAGAUGGAUUGGAAGGGGGGGUUUUAUUGAAUGGCCAGCAAGAUCGCCAGAUUUAACCCCAUUGGAUUUUUAUCUAUGGGGUUAUCUAAAAUCUAAAGUUUAUUUAGAUAAACUGAAAGUUUAGAAGAAUUAAAUAAUAGAAUUAUAGCCGAAAUACGACAAAUCCGGCCUCAAUCAAUAAGUAAAGUAUUACAAGAAUUUGAAUAUCGACUUGGUUACUGUCAGGAAGUUAAUGGUUAACGAUUUGAACAUUUUAAUUUUUUUUAUAAACUGUUCAAAAAUUCAUGGCUAUUUAUGAGAAAAAUAAUCGCAAAUUUCUUAAUAAAUAUUGAGGUUAGUUAUAGGACAUGGUAUACAAAAUAUACUUAAAAUUUUAUACAGAAUUAAAAAAUAAAAUAAGAAAUGGGUGUUUCUAUUUUAGAAAAUUAAGUGUA